rnacentral:rRNA from 1 species
CCUACGGGUGGCAGCAGUGAGGAAUAUUGGUCAAUGGACGGAAGUCUGAACCAGCCAUGCCGCGUGCAGGAAGACGGCUCUAUGAGUUGUAAACUGCUUUUGUACAAGGGUAAACCUGAAUACGUGUAUUCAGCUGAAAGUACUUUACGAAUAAGGAUCGGCUAACUCCGUGCCAGCAGCCGCGGUAAUACGGAGGAUCCAAGCGUUAUCCGGAUUUAUUGGGUUUAAAGGGUGCGUAGGCGGAUUGAUAAGUUAGGGGCGAAAUGUCCGGGCUUAACUCGGGAACUGCCUCUAAUACUGUUGGUCUAGAGAGUAGAUGCGGUAGGCGGAAUGUAUGGUGUAGCGGUGAAAUGCUUAGAGAUCAUACAGAACACCGAUUGCGAAGGCAGCUUACCAAUCUAUAUCUGACGUUGAGGCACGAAAGCGUGGGGAGCAAACAGGAUUAGAUACCCUUGUAGUC